rnacentral:rRNA from 1 species
GACGAACCGUCCUAACGUUGUUCGGAAUCACUGGGCUUAAAGGGCGCGUAGGCGGCCUUGAAAGUCGGGGGUGAAAUCCCACGGCCUAACCGUGGAAGUGCCUCCGAUACUGCAAGGCUCGAGGGAGGUAGGGGCAGCUGGAACUUCCGGUGGAGCGGUGAAAUGCGUUGAGAUGCGGAGGAACACCGAUGGCGAAGGCAGCCCCCUGGGCUGACACUGACGCUCAGGCACGAAAGCGUGGGGAGCAAACAGG